AACGAACGCUGGCGGCAUGCCUAACACAUGCAAGUCGAACGAGACCUUCGGGUCUAGUGGCGCACGGGUGCGUAACGCGUGGGAACCUGCCCUUAGGUUCGGAAUAACUCCCCGAAAGGGGUGCUAAUACCGGAUAAUGUCUUCGGACCAAAGAUUUAUCGCCUUUGGAUGGGCCCGCGUUGGAUUAGCUAGUUGGUAGGGUAAAAGCCUACCAAGGCGACGAUCCAUGGCUGGUCUGAGAGGAUGAUCAGCCACACUGGGACUGAGACACGGCCCAGACUCCUACGGGAGGGAGCAGUGGGGAAUAUUGGACAAGGGGCGAAAGCCUGAUCGAGCAAUGCCGCGUGAGUGAUGAAGGCCUUAGGGUUGUAAAGCGCGUUGACCCGGGAUGAGAAUGACAGUACCGGGAGAAUAAGCACCGGCUAACUCCGUG
rnacentral:rRNA from 1 species